rnacentral:tRNA from 1 species
UCCCUGGUGGCUCAGAUGGUAAAGAAUCUGCCUGCAAUGCAGGAGAUCCAGGUUUGAUCCCUGGCUGAGGAA